rnacentral:rRNA from 1 species
UGAGACACGGACCAAACUCCUACGGGAGGCAGCAGUGAGGAAUAUUGGUCAAUGGACGCAAGUCUGAACCAGCCAUGCCGCGUGCAGGAAGACGGCUCUAUGAGUUGUAAACUGCUUUUGUACGAGGGUAAACGCAGAUACGUGUAUCUGUCUGAAAGUAUCGUACGAAUAAGGAUCGGCUAACUCCGUGCCAGCAGCCGCGGUAAUACGGAGGAUCCAAGCGUUAUCCGGAUUUAUUGGGUUUAAAGGGUGCGUAGGCGGUUUGAUAAGUUAGAGGUGAAAUACCGGUGCUUAACACCGGAACUGCCUCUAAUACUGUUGGACUAGAGAGUAGUUGCGGUAGGCGGAAUGUAUGGUGUAGCGGUGAAAUGCUUAGAGAUCAUACAGAACACCGAUUGCGAAGGCAGCUUACCAAACUAUAUCUGACGUUGAGGCACGAAAGCGUGGGGAGCAAACAGGAUUAGAUACCCUGGUAGUCCACGCAGUAAACGAUGAUAACUCGCUGUCGGCGAUACACAGUCGGCGGCUAAGCGAAAGCGAUAAGUUAUCCACCUGGGGAGUACGUUCGCAAGAAUGAAACUCAAAGGAAUUGACGGGGGCCCGCACAAGCGGAGGAACAUGUGGUUUAAUUCGAUGAUACGCGAGGAACCUUACCCGGGCUUGAAAGUUAGCGACGAUUCUUGAAAGAGGAUUUCCCUUCGGGGCGCGAAACUAGGUGCUGCAUGGUUGUCGUCAGCUCGUGCCGUGAGGUGUCGGGUUAAGUCCCAUAACGAGCGCAACCCCUACCGUUAGUUGCCAUCAGGUCAAGCUGGGCACUCUGGCGGGACUGCCGGUGUAAGCCGAGAGGAAGGUGGGGAUGACGUCAAAUCAGCACGGCCCUUACGUCCGGGGCUACACACGUGUUACAAUGGCAGGUACAGAGAGACGGUCCCUUGCAAAAUGGAUCAAAUCCUUAAAGCCUGUCUCAGUUCGGACUGGGGUCUGCAACCCGACCCCACGAAGCUGGAUUCGCUAGUAAUCGCGCAUCAGCCAUGGCGCGGUGAAUACGUUCCC